AGCCCGUUUGACACCGUUCCGACCCACUCGGACCUGGUUUCGGCCCUGUUUAAGAAACCAACCACCAACGGAAGUGUAGAACGUCCACGAGGAGCUAAGAGCUUACGUUAUAUUCUAGGGAGUACUUCGGCUAAGGCCUACCAAAUAAGGGCAAGGCACCCAUGUGACAACGACGACGGCAU